GACUAAAGGCGGUGCUCCAGCAUGGCCGCAGUCAAAUGACUGAAACAAGUAAAAGAGAAAUAAUUUGAAUGCUAAAGGGUUAAUAUGUUGCUCAGCGCUUCAUGAUUAUUAAAGUUUCAAUGCUCCCAGAAACUACAUUCCAAUUUCCACACAUCCAUCAAUGAUAAUUAAAACUAAUCUAAAAGCAAUAUGCGAGACCCAGUUUGAUCACUUAGCAAAUUAUUAGCAUUUAUUCCGGCAUGUUCUUUGUCAAAGAGAGUCAAUAUGAAAUCUAAAUUUCUAUUCUCUCGGUUCUGUUCUGUUCUGUUCUUCAUACCAUUUUCCAAGCCCUGACUCCCUUCCUCUCUUCCAUUCUUGUAUUCUUGUGGAGAAUUCUACGAGGAACAAGGCAGAAAUACGCACACGAAUUUCGUCAUUGUAAUAUUUGAAAACAAUUUAAUUCUCUGAACUCUUUAAGAAAAAAAAAACCAAUCUAAAAAUAUAUAUAAAAUGAUGUAAAAUGUAAAGAAAAAAAAA